CGCACAGUAAACGAUGAAUACUCGCUGUUGGCGAUAGACAGUCAGCGGCCAAGCGAAAGCAUUAAGUAUUCCACCUGGGGAGUACGCCGGCAACGGUGAAACUCAAAGGAAUUGACGGGGGCCCGCACAAGCGGAGGAACAUGUGGUUUAAUUCGAUGAUACGCGAGGAACCUUACCCGGGCUUGAAUUGCAGGUGCAUGAUGCAGAGAUGUGUCUUUCCUUCGGGACUCCUGUGAAGGUGC
rnacentral:rRNA from 2 species